GUGCUCAAAAGCACAUAUACUAAAAUCAGAACAAUACAGAGAAGAUUAGAAUGCCCUCGGCAAAGGUGACAUACACAUUUAUGAAGCAUUCUGCAUUUGU
rnacentral:snRNA from 1 species